CACGUAGGGCGCGAGCGUUGUCCGGAAUUAUUGGGCGUAAAGAGCUCGUAGGCGGCCUGUUGCGUCCGCUGUGAAAGCCCGGGGCUUAACCCCGGGUCGGCAGUGGAUACGGGCAGGCUAGAGGUAGGUAGGGGAGAAUGGAAUUCCCGGUGUAGCGGUGAAAUGCGCAGAUAUCGGGAGGAGCACCGGUGGCGAAGGCGGUUCUCUGGGCCUUACCUGACGCUGAGGAGCGAAAGCGUGGGGAGCGAACAGG
rnacentral:rRNA from 1 species